rnacentral:snRNA from 1 species
AUCCUUUCUGAGGACUUUUGGAAAAACUGGAACUAUAGAGAAAAAUUAGCAUGGUUCUUGGGUACAGAUAACACACACCAAUCGAAAAAAUGAUCAAAAGAAAUUU